rnacentral:tRNA from 1 species
CAUUAGAGAAGCUGACCUAGCGUUAACCUUUUAAGUUAAAGCCUGGGAAUCCAAACUUCCCCUCAAUGA